UGGGACGGGGAAAAGUGGAGGAGGGGGAGGGGAACUCUUUGUUUGCAGUUGGAAUGCGCGGAGGGGCACGGUGGAAUGUGACGGUCCCGAACGGGGCGACGCGAGGCAUGUUCUGCGCAAACAUCGUGACUUUGUUCCUACUGUGGGGACUGUGGGAGAGACGGAGAGAGACUGGCACAGAAGUAGUGAGACAGGGAGAGUUCCAUAAAGAGGGGGACAGGGAGAAAGAAAGGUGGAUACACAAAGAGGCUCAGAGACGCGUAUGUGAAGAACCCAGAAGGGCGAUGAAACCCAUGUAGAGAGGUGGAAGACAGGUAGCGAAAGAAAGGGCGAACCGGAGCAAAGGGGAUCGUGGGUGGUACGUACGAGACCGAAAGAUGAACAGACUAAGAAAAAGAAAAAUCUAUGCAUGUCCGGACAGAAUGAGAGACCUACGAUAAUCUGCAAUAAAAAGACACCACUUUCUGAACCCAAAGCUCUGCGACGGUAGGGAGAGAAGGAGCUUUAGGGGCUACGUAAAAGGAGUGGGGAAAAGGGUUGGGACUAAUCUCUACCUUCAGGGUGGGACAGAUACAGGAAUAGAGACACCCCCUGGUGUUGGGAAAUGAGAUUUUUAGCAACUAUUUCAGGUGACUGUGGGGAUAGAAGGACUGGUUUUAGGGCUAGCGAAUGCCUCCCCCUUGGUUGGCCCACAGGAGAUUGGUGAUAAAGACUCCUUAUCAGUGUAAUUGUGGGGACUGGUCACCAGCUCCUGCUUGAGCUUUUCCAGAAGGAACUUCACUACUGAAAUAUUCCAAGAGGACUUGAUGCUGCCACAAAGAUCAUGAACAAGCCAGUCAGCAUUUUGAAAGCCAGAAAAACAGAGAUUCCUGGCAUGAAUCAACUGUGUGGUAAAUGCCCUCACGGCCAAGGGCAGGAUGUAAGGGGCAAUGCUCCCUCAGUCAGUGGAAAUUCCCAGUCCCAAACCGAUGGACCCAUAUACUGAUCUCAAGACUUCAGUUUCAAUUAAGAAAUCCCCAUUUACCCUUCUGCUUCUAUGACUGACCAUAUCAAUUUAGGAAAG